rnacentral:rRNA from 1 species
ACGGAGGUGGCAAGCGUUGUUCGGAUUUACUGGGUGUAAAGGACAUGUAGGCGUUUUAUUAAGUCAGAUGUGAAAUCCCACGGCUCAACCAUGGAACUGCAUCUGAUACUGAUGAAAUUGAAUACGAAAGAGGUAAGCGGAAUUCCAGAAGUAAGGGUGAAAUCUGUAGAUAUCUGGAGGAACACCAUUAGCGAAGGCGGCUUACUGGUUCGAUAUUGACGCUGAAAUGUGAAAGCUAGGGGAGCAAACAG